UCACGUUGAAACACCGGUUCCCGUACGAUCACCGACGUUAAGCAACCUCGAGCCUGGCCAGUAACUAGAGGGGUGACCGCUUGGGAAUACCAGGUGUUA